UUAGCACAAAUGUCUGUAAGCAAUAUUUUGAAAUAUGACAUGAAUACAUGACAAAAAUAAUUUAUGAUUCAUAUUUUUAAAAUAUUCAUGAUUUAUAUAUGCGUGAUUGCUUUAUGACUUAUUUUAUUAUAUAUUUUAUGAAAUACUUUAUUUUAUAUUAUUUAUUAUUUUUUAAAUAUUGUAUUAUCAUAAAAAAUUUAUACUAGAUCC
rnacentral:lncRNA from 1 species